GAGCUCGUGAAUCCGGGCGACGGAAUUCAGAAUUUGUGGCGUUUACGCGCCGCAGGCUCGAUAUUUCCGUCGCCGUCAUUUCGGACGUCGCGACCCGUUUGGUGUCGGCCUGAGGAGACGUGCGAAAGUUCGUCGACGCGUCGGACUCGUUUCGGCGCGUCGACGAGUGCGCGUUUUAUUCGCUGACUGACUCGCCAGACGGUAUGCAACGGUGGUCGCGGCGGCCUUUGCGCCGCCGUCGAUGCCGGUCUGCGACGAAUCUUCGAGUCUCUUUCCGACCCGUCUUGAAACACGGAC
rnacentral:rRNA from 1 species